AAAAUAUUUUACGCCGGGCAUAAACUAAAUGGUUGUGUUCGCUUUGCAUUGUGGGAUUAGUGGUGAUGGGCGUGUGUGCUCGGCGUGUCCUGAUGAAUUAGUUACAUCUCGCGGUGUUCGUUAAAUUUUAAUUUGUGGGAAAAGUCGGAAAUUUGUUUGGAAAUUAAUAAAUUAUGUAUCGUAAGCAAGACGUAGGUGAAAGCUUGCAAUUCUAGUAUUUUGCAGAAAAUUCCACAGUGCAGAUGUGAUCUUCAUAGCGCGAAACAGUGUUUUCAUUGGAUAUUUGCUUUGAUUGACACGUGACGUACGCGUUCUCGAUUCUUCCCUGGACAAAACUGGACAAAACCAAAACAAACCAGCUGAUUCACACGCUUUGGUGUUGGUGCGACUUGUUAUAAUUUUGUUGUGCAAGAAAUUUGUUUGAUACAUCGGAGAUACGGAUAAACAAGCGAGAAGACACCCAGACAGAACCAAGUUAUAACUGACGUUAGUACGAGAAAAAAACGUUUGUUGAGAAUUAAGAAGAACGAUCACAAGUGCUAUUGAGAAGGACGUUUGGCGAGCGAGAUAGGACACGGACUAAGAAGAGGAGUGAUCGUAGAAGUGCAGGCAUCCAAGGAGAUUGUGCCUGGGCGAGAGGGCAAGGAGCAGGACAGAUGGCCGACACUGUACGCGUCGAGAGAUAAGUGUGAAGCCAAGGGUACUGUCACAGAAGCUAUGCCAAUGAUUCUUGAGCUUGGAGUACAACCGACAAUGGCGGUGUUCCAGAUGGAUCCGACACAUCACAGCGCGAUGGUGGAUCUGCCGUGGCUGGGCGGCCCGUGCGAGCAGUCCCUGUUCCACGACCUCGACACCGACGUGCCGUCCAUCUACGGCGGCAUCUGUCGCUCCAGCAGCUCGAGCGGUAGCAGCACCGGCAGCAUGUGCUCGCCGACAGGUGGCAGCACGGUUGGCGGCGGCGGUGGCGCGGCGACGACGGCCGACCUCGACAUGGUGAAGAUCGAAGACGAGGUGAUGACGAGCUGCGAACUACGCUGCCUCGCGUCGUCCGGCCGCAACGAGUUCGACGACAUCACGACGACGGAGGAGCUCGUCUGGGCGGGCCAGGACCUCGACAUGCUCAAGAUGGAGGACAUCUUCCAGGUGGACGAGGCCGACCUGAAGCAGAGUCCGACGCUCGCUCAGCUGAACAGCGUCGACGAGUCCUGCGUCGAUCUCUUCGAUUACGAGCGGGCGUCGUCCACCGCCUCCGCCCGUCCGGCACCGACGAUGACCAAAGUCGCCGCCAAGUCCUCUAGUCUGCCAUACAAGAAAGCAGCCGCCAUCAUCGCGGCGGCAGCAGCGAGAGCCGCUGCCGGUUCGCCGCGGCGGAUCAACGCCUACGUCGCACAGUCGGUCGCCAUGAUCUCGAGUACCUCGGAAGUUCAGCAGGACCUGCUGAGUCAGAAUCCUAGUCUCCGCGCUCUUCUCGCGCAGCCCUUGCCGCAGCAAGUGCCCUCGUGGACGGCCAGCUCCACGACCGCAAAACCCGAGCUCGACAAGAGGUGGGAGGAAAUUGUCGACUUUAUACACGAAGAUAAGGACGCGUCGGCCAAGCUACGACGCGACAAGAACGAAAGUUGUAGCAGGAAGCGAAAUCUUAGCACAAGCACUGUUGGGUCAUAUGAAGAUUUGGACCAUGAUGAACAUGGCGACAGUGAUUUGGACUCCGACAAUGAGGAAUUCCUGAGCGACAAUAGCAGCCAAGACAGCAGUUUUCUCCAACCAACGACACCCAAAAAGAAGCAACGAUUCUUCUGGCAGUACAAUUUGCAGGCGAAAGGAGCCAAGGGAGAAAAGCUACGUGUCAUAUCGCAGCCUGAAGAUCCCCAUCAUCUGGAUGCUGCCACAGACCCCGUCUUUAGCCCGUCAAUUCACAUAAAGUAUGUGAACAAAGACUAUUCUAAGGGGGAACGUGGCAUAAAACACAGCGGCAAGGCACGGCGCGGCGACGGCAAUGACUUGACGCCGAACCCGAAGAAGUUGUACGCGAUUGGACGAGAACUGAGCAAGUUGGGGAAGCUCAUCAACGACAUGACGCCGGUCAGCGAGGUGCCGUUUAAUUCUCGGCCGAGAUCUCGACGCGAGAAGAAUAAACUGGCGUCGCGCGCCUGCCGACUGAAAAAGAAGGCGCACCACGAGGCAAACAAGCUGAAACUUUUCGGGCUGGCACGAGAGCACGAGGCCCUGCUUAAAUUGAUGGAUACGGUGCGGAGUGAGCUGGCGACGAGAUACAAGAGUCCCAAUGUGAAACGUGAAGAGACCGCCACCCAGUUUCUGGACAGAUUAAUCAAAGGACAAGGCGAAGCUGUAAAGGUGGGAGAUUCGACCGAAUUCAUUACAGAAAUACUACAGAAUGUCGAGAAGGGAAAUGCGACAGGAGGGCUGAAAUACUAAUGACGAAAUGGUCGUAAUAGCAAAUGAAAUCUGUUGCUACAUCUGAUCAGAUCAAACUCAUCAUCGCUGAUGAGUUCUGUGUGUGUGUGCGUGCGUGCGUGCGUGCGUGCGUGCGUUUGCGUGUGUGUGUGUUUGUGUUUGUGUGUAUGUGUGUGAAAGUGCCUUUGUACAACAACAAACGUGCAGGCACCGAUUCUGUCAUCUUUUUUAGUCACAGAAACCAUUAGUUCCAUCGAGUCUAAAGUUAUCUGUUAAAUUAGUAGUGUGUGGUUUGGUGAUUAUUUUCAUUAAUUUCAAAACAAAUAAGCAUCUCUGCAUUCCCGCAUUAUAUAUAUAUAUAUACACGCACAUAUAUAUAUGUGUGUAUAUAUAUCUAUAUAUCUAUAUAUAUAUACUUCAUCUUUGAUGCAGAGUGUCUUUCUAAUGUAAAUACAGGGUCGGCGGAAGCAAAUAAACAUUGGUCAGGCCAUUUAGCAUCAAUAACAGACGUCGACAAACAGCUGGCUGAAGGCCAGGUGCGCAUGGCGCAGCCGUGGCGGAGGAGCUCUAGGGGGGGGGGGUUCCCCUCGUCAAAGGGGGGUUUCGGGGUCCUCCCCCAAGAAAUUUUAAACAUUUAAGACACCAGGAUGCCUUUUUAGAGCUUAAAAAUACUUUUCAAAACUCUAACAAAUAUAUAUUUAUACUUCAGUAUAGGCCUAAUUAUUUCGGCAUCUGCCAAUUUGCAUGUCAAAUUUUUUGCGUGUGCACGUAGG
rnacentral:misc_RNA from 1 species